rnacentral:rRNA from 13 species
GCAGCCGCGGUAAUUCCAGCUCCAAUAGCGUAUAUUUAAGUUGUUGCAGUUAAAAAGCUCGUAGUUGGACCUUGGACCUGGACAGGCGGUCCGCCUCACGGCGAGUACUGUCUUGCUGGGUCUUUCCUCUUGGUGAUCUGUUGUUUCGGCAGCAGGGAACCAGGACCUUUACUUUGAAAAAAUUAGAGUGUUCAAAGCAGGCUCGACGCCGGAAUAUAUUAGCAUGGAAUAAUAAGAUAGGACCUGGGUACUAUUUUGUUGGUUUGCGCACCGAGGUAAUGAUUAAUAGGGACAGUUGGGGGGG